AUACGUAGGUGGCAAGCGUGGUCCGGAUUUACUGGGUGUAAAGGGCGUGUAGGCGGAGAUGCAAGUCAGGAGUGAAAUCUAGGGGCUCAACCCCUAAACUGCUUUUGAAACUGUAUCCCUUGAGUAUCGGAGAGGCAGGCGGGAUUCCAAGUGUAGCGGGUGAAUGCGUAGAUAUUAGGAGGAACACCAGUGGCGAAGGCGGCCUGCUGGACGACAACUGACGCUGAGGCGCGAAAGCGUGGGGAGCAAACAGGAUUAGAUACCCUGGUAGUCCACGCUGUAAACGAUGAAUACUAGGUGUGGGGGGACUGACCCCCUCCGUGCCGCAGUUAACACAAUAAGUAUUCCACCUGGGGAGUACGAUCGCAAGAUUGAAACUCAAAUGAAUUGGCGGGG
rnacentral:rRNA from 1 species